rnacentral:misc_RNA from 1 species
AACGGGUGCAGUAUCUUGAUUGGGAUUCAGGAAGGACGCAUCUUUAUCAUUGUCAUGUCCAUUCGGAUCGAAGCUAUACUUUUAAGGGUCCUUACCUGAAAGCAGAAAGAACCCAUCUGCAACAUUCAUUAGGAGAUGAGAAUGUAUUGAUUGUCAAGUUUGAGCAAAACACCCCAGGGUGUCCAGAAGAGAUUGUUCAGAAUGGAAUUCUUGUUGGUUUGAGGCGCUAUCGCUUUUUUGUUUAUAAGGAUGACGGGAA